CCCCUCUCAGGAUCACAUCUGGAGAGUUUCCAGUAAUCUCCCAGUCUUGGUUAUGGGAGGGUGAGUCAAGUAGAGACAUGCCUAUUCCAUUCCUAGCUUGGCCAGUGGCUGGUGAGUAGAAGGCAAUCUGCUACAAGU